rnacentral:lncRNA from 1 species
UGUCAUUGUUUUCUGUUUUAUCAUAUUUUUUUAUUUACUCUUUUGUUUCUUAAUCAAGCUCUUAGUUUUCUCAUUUGAAUUGUAUUACAUAUGAUCAGGUUGGGAUCUUUUAUAGCUUUCUAUACACUACUGUAUGGAUUUCCCUCAUUUUUAAAAGGCAUAUAGUUGUUUGCAUAUAUGUAAUUUUAUCUCUGGUGCAUAGUUCUUUUUUUAUUUUUUUUUUUAUAUUAUUUAUAAUUGAAUUCACUUCAAAUGAAAACAAAUACAUUGUAUCUAUAAGAAGUUUGAAAUUGGUAAACCGUUGCAAAAUUAUUUUGAAAGAACAGUAUGUGAAACAAUACUUAAAAAUUGCUUUGUUUUGAAACCACAUAUUAAACAGGAUUCUGUGAGUAUUGCAUGGCAAUACAUAGACCCCUACCAGUUAAAAUUCUUUGUAAUGGAAAUUCAACUUGAUCUAUUACUUGUCAUUGUGUACACUACAUAAA